rnacentral:rRNA from 1 species
UACAGAGGUCCCGAGCGUUGUUCGGAUUCAUUGGGCGUAAAGGGUGCGUAGGUGGCGCCGUAAGUGGGGUGUGAAAUCCCGGGGCUUAACCCCGGGACUGCAUUCCAUACUGCGGUGCUUGAGGACUGGAGAGGAGACUGGAAUUUACGGUGUAGCGGUGAAAUGCGUAGAGAUCGUAAGGAAGACCAGUGGCGAAGGCGGGUCUCUGGACAGUUCCUGACACUGAGGCACGAAGGCCAGGGGAGCAAACGGG